rnacentral:rRNA from 1 species
GACGAACGCUGGCGGCGUGCUUAACACAUGCAAGUCGAACGAUGAAGCCGGAGCUUGCUCUGGUGAAUUAGUGGCGAACGGGUGAGUAACACGUGAGUAACCUGCCCUUGACUCUGGGAUAACUGCUAGAAAUGGUAGCUAAUACCGGAUACGACCCUCGGAGGCAUCUCCAGGGGGUGGAAAGAAUUUCGGUCAAGGAUGGACUCGCGGCCUAUCAGCUAGUUGGUGAGGUAACGGCUCACCAAGGCGACGACGGGUAGCCGGCCUGAGAGGGUGACCGGCCACACUGGGACUGAGACACGGCCCAGACUCCUACGGGAGGCAGCAGUGGGGAAUAUUGCACAAUGGGCGCAAGCCUGAUGCAGCAACGCCGCGUGAGGGAUGACGGCCUUCGGGUUGUAAACCUCUUUUAGUAGGGAAGAAGCGAAAGUGACGGUACCUGCAGAAGAAGCACCGGCUAACUACGUGCCAGCCGCCGCCGUAACAC